AUACGAAGGGUGCGAGCGUUAAUCGGAAUUACUGGGCGUAAAGCGCGCGUAGGCGGUUGGAUAAGUCGGAUGUGAAAGCCCCGGGCUCAACCUGGGAAUUGCAUUCGAAACUGUCCGGCUAGAGUAUGGUAGAGGGAAGCGGAAUUCCACAUGUAGCGGUGAAAUGCGUAGAUAUGUGGAGGAACACCAGUGGCGAAGGCGGCUUCCUGGACCAAUACUGACGCUGAGGUGCGAAAGCGUGGGGAGCAAACAGGAUUAGAAACCCAGGUAGUCC
rnacentral:rRNA from 1 species